CAUUAGGCACAACACUAGUUAGCCCACGAUGCCUUGUUUAGCCACACCCCCAAGGGAACCCAGCAGUAAUUAACAUUAAGCAAUAAGUGAAAACUUGACUUAGUUAAAACCAAGAGGGCCGGUAAAUCUCGUGCCAGCCACCGCGGUUAUACGGGAGACCCAAGUUGACAAACGUCGGCGUAAAAUGUGGUUUAUACAGUAUUGCACUAAAGCUAAACUUCUUCAAGGCUGUUAUACGCAUUCGAAAGAAAGAGAAUCUUCAACGAAAGUGGCUUUAAACAUUAUGAACCCACGAAAGCUAGGAAACAAACUGGGAUUAGAUACCCCACUAUGCCUAGCCCUAAACUAAAGCAACCCCCUACUCAUGUUGCUUGCCAGGGAAUUACGAGCUUUAGCUUAAAACCCAAAGGACUUGGCGGUGCUUUAGACCCACCUAGAGGAGCCUGUUCUAUAACCGAUAGUCCCCGUUAAACCUCACCCUCUCUUGCCAUUCCC
rnacentral:rRNA from 1 species